rnacentral:lncRNA from 1 species
UUCCUCAUACGAAGUCAGAUUUGGGCGUUCUAUAUAUAUUCGGAAACCUCGUUUCAACUACUACAACAUUAUCCAAAGAUAUCAAGUUUAUUUUACACUUAAAUUUUGACGCUUAUUUUUAUUCUUAAUUAAUCAAACCACAUAAUUAAGCAAUUAAGCACAAAACACAUAAUACUCAAAUAAUACACUCUUAUUAUUUCAAAACGGGUUACAAAGGUUAACCUAGACUAUUACAUUGCUAAAAAUGGCAAGCCCGGAAACACAGGCGUUACAAUUCUCUCCACCUUAGAAUGAUUCCGUCCCCGGAAUCACACAUCAACAAACAAAUGCGGAUAGCGACUCAACAUGUCACUCUCCGUCUCCCAGGUGAGAUUCGGCCCAUUCGUGUGUUUCCAUCGGACAAGCACUAACCCAACCAUUUUGCGUCGCAACUUCUUAGUCUUUCGGUCAACAAUUGCCUCUGGUUCUUCAAUCAACCUUUUGUUCUCAUCAAUUCUCAAUUCAGAAAUUGGAAUUAUAUCGGGAACUUCUCCCGUGAACUUCCUCAAAUAACACACAUGAAAGGUGUUGUGAAUUCCAUUCAGUUCUUCGGGUAAUUCGAGCUUGUAAGCUUGGUUCCCAAUCCUCUGAAGAACUUUAAACGGUCCAAUAAACCUUGGACUCAACUUUCCCCUUUUACCAAAUCUUAUAAGUCCCUUCCACGGCGAGACUUUAAGCAAAAUCGAAUCUCCAACUUCAAAAGUCAUCGGCCUUCGCUUCUUGUCAGCAUAGCUCUUUUGACGAUCCUAAGCUGCUAACAUUCUUUCCCUGAUCACUUUCAACUUCUCAGAAGUCUGAUGGACCAUCUCGGGUCCCAUAAACUGCUUUUCGCUAGCCUCAAGCCAACAAGACGGCGUACGACACUUCUGUCCAUACAAAGCUUGAUAAGGUGCCAUCUUAAUGCUCGAGUGAAAACUAUUAUUAUAGGAAAAUUCUACCAACGGUAAAUGUUCAUCCCAAUUACCUAGGAAUUCCAGGGUACAUGCUCUCAGCAUAUCUUCAAGUGUUUGUAUCGUUCUUUCACUCUGACCAUCAGUCUGUGGAUGGUAAGUUGUACUUAAACAUAACUUGGUACCCAUUUCCUCUUGUAGACUUUUCCAAAACCUUGAGGUGAAACGGGUGUCACGAUCUGAUACAAUCGUUAACGGAACACCGUGAAGCAUCACAAUUUCCUUUACAUAAGAAUUCGCAAGCUUUUCCAUAGACCAUUUCUCAUUGGCUUCUAUAAAAUGCGCACUCUUAGUGAAUCGAUCAACGACCACCCAAAUCAUGUCGUGACCAUUCUUUGUUCUGGGCAGUUUAGUGACAAAAUCCAUAGCAAUGUCUUCCCACUUACCCAUAGGCACAGGCAAAGGUUCUAAACUCCCGUACGGUUUCUGAUGUUGUGUCUUGACUCUCGCACAAGUCACACACUCGGCCACAUACUUUGCAACAUCAAGCUUCAUCGUCGGCCACCAGUAGUAGGGUUUCAGGUCCCUAUACAUUUUAGUGCUACCCGGAUGAAUCGAGUACAUGGUCUUGUGAGCUUCUUCCAUCAGAAGAUCCCUAAUUCCUCCUGACUUAGGUACCCAAAUACGAUCUUGGAAUACCUUCAGUCCAUGACCGUUAGUACCAAACACCAACGUUUUACCCAAACGUUCCUCCUUUCGGUCAUUUUUCUCAGAAGCUUCCUCUUGAGCUUUCUUUAUACUUUCCACAAUGGUCGAGACAACUUCAAUUCUCAACGCUCUUGGCCUCUUCCUUUCAAGAUUGACCUUCCGACUGAGAGCAUCAGCAACAACAUUAGCUUUACCGGGGUGGUAAAGUAUCUCGCAGUCGUAGUCUUUAAGUAAUUCUAGCCAGCGUCGUUGCCUCAUAUUCAAUUCUUUCUGAUUAAAGAGGUAUUGGAGACUCUUAUGAUCAGUGAAAAGUUUGCACUUCGUGCCAUAGAGGUAAUGCCUCCAUAUUUUCAGAGCGAAAACUACCGCUGCCAACUCCAAAUCAUGAGUCGGGUAAUUCUUUUCAUGCUCUUUCAGCUGUCGAGACGCAUAUGCUAUCACCUUUUCUCUUUGGGUCAAAACACAACCCAAUCCAACACCAGACGCAUCGCUAUAAACAGCGAAGUCUUCAACUCCAUCGGGUAGAGAAAGUAUCGGUGCCUCGCAUAGCUUCUUCUUUAACUUCUCGAAUGCUUCUUUAUGCUUCUCACUCCAAGCAUAAGUAGCUCCUUUGUGGGUCAAAGCUGUUAAUGGAGUAGCAAUCGAAGAAAAGCCUUGGAUAAACCUUCGGUAAUAUCCGGCUAAUCCUAAAAAGCUUCGAAUCUCCGUGGGACUUUUCGGUUGUUCCCACUUCGUCACAGCUUCGAUCUUCGCUGGAUCAACCAUUAUCCCUUCUUGGUUGACCACGUGACCCAAGAAUUGGACUUCACGAAUCCAAAAAUCACAUUUGGAGAACUUCGCAUAAAGCUUCUCCUUCUUCAAAACUUCUAACACUUCUCGCAAGUGUCUGCCAUGCUCCUCCUGGCUUUUCGAGUAGAUCAGAAUGUCGUCUAUGAACACUAUCACGGAUUUAUCAAGGAAAGGAUUACAAACCCUAUUCAUCAAAUCCAUGAACGCUGCUGGAGCAUUGGUUAGUCCAAACGACAUAACCAAGAACUCGUAGUGUCCAUAUCUAGUUCUGAAUGCAGUCUUCUCGAUAUCUUGCUCUCUUACUUUCAGCUGAUGAUAUCCUGACCUAAGAUCGAUCUUCGAGAAAUAGCUCGAACCUUGCAAUUGAUCAAACAGGUCAUCAAUCCUCGGCAACGGAUAUCUAUUCUUUAUUGUUGCCUUGUUCAGCUCUCUGUAAUCGAUGCACAUUCUCAUACUUCCAUCUUUCUUCUUUACAAAUAACACCGGAGCUCCCCAGGGCGAUGAACUAGGUCUAAUGAAACCUUUGUCCAAUAACUCCUGAAGUUGCAUCAUUAGCUCCUUCAUCUCCGUCGGUGCUAAUCGAUAAGGUGCUUUUGCUAUUGGCGUGGUUCCUGGUAACAAGUCUAUUCUGAACUCCACUUGUCUAUCAGGUGGUAAUCCAGGAAGAUCCUCGGGAAAUACUUCCGGAUAAUCACACACCACUGGAAUGCUCUGCAUCACCUUCUUUUCUUUCUUAGCAUCAAUCACGAAUGCUAAAUAUGAUGUACAUCCCUUGGUCAAACACUUUCUGGCUUUCAUUAGAGAAAUGAUUCCAGAAUUCACUCUGCGUUUGUCCCCAUACACCAUAAACGAAUCUUUUCCAGGCGGGUUUACUUUAACUAUCUUCUUCUUGCACAAAAUUUCGGCAUCAUUGGCGCUAAGCCAAUCCAUUCCCAAGACGAUGUCGAAACCAUUUAGUUCGAUAGGCAAUAAUUCCUCGAGAAACUUAUUCCCAUUAAGGUCGAUCAAGACGUUUUUCAUACGAUGGCUAACAGGUACAAACUUGCCACUAGCUACUUCGACUAAUAAAGCAUUAUUUAGUCUAUCAACAGGCAAAGCUAGCUUUCUACCAAACUCAUGCGAAAUAAAGGAGUAGUUGGCUCCAGAAUCAAACAAUAUAUGAGCAGGUAAUUCGUUUACGAGAAAGGUACCUGAAGCGACAUCAGCUUCAUCUUUCGCAGCCUCAAGUGUCAUCUGGAAGGCUCUCGCCUUCGGCUUUGGUGGAAUGUUGGGCCUAGCUGCCUCCUUCUUCUUCGGACAGUCUUUCAAAAUAUGCCCCUCUUCAUUACAACCAAAACACAUCCUUUUGUUGUUCGGACACUCAUUGGCAAAAUGCCCAAUUUUUCUGCACUUGUAGCAGGUUACAUCCUCACUACAUUUUCCAAAGUGCUUUUUCUUACACUUAUCACACCACUUCGCUUCGCCUCCUUUUUCCUCCACCAAACUUUUUCGAAUCAGAUUUCGAAAAUUUGCUUUUCUUACCAGAACCAGAUGUUCACUCAAACUUUCUCUUCUCACUAACCUCAACCUUGUCGGUGGAUCUCCCCUUAAUCAUGUUCUCAACAAACAUGGCAGCCCAGAUAGCUGCCUCUAGAGUAAGUGCCUGACGUACCGGCACCUCGUACUCCCAUGGAAGUCCCUUCGCAUACCGAUCCACCUUUGUCAGCUCGUCUGGAACGAUACGCAAGGCAAACUCCAUCUUAUCGGUGAAGUUAUUGGUGUACUCAUCCACUGACAUGCUACCCUUCGUCAAUGUCAAAAACUUGUUCUCCAACUCCAACAGAUUUUGAGCCGAGCAGAACUUGCGCUUGAACUGCACCAAGAACUCUGCCCAUGACAAUUGCAGUGGCUCAUUAGGGCUUAAGGUCUUCCCUAGAGUGUUCCACCAACGAACGGCUCCACCUCGGAAUUGACGCACGGCAUAGAUAGUUUGCAACUUACCUCUGCAGCCACACGUCAUGAAGGCUAGCUCCAUUUCGGAGAUCCAAUCCAUAACCCCAAUCGGAUCCUCCUUUCCAUUGAAGGUCGAUGGUUUGCAAGUCAAAAAGUCCUUGUACUUGCAUCCCAUUCCAUCAUUCCUUCCAUCAUGGUUAUCUUGCCUAACUAUCGGUGGGUUGGCUUGACCAACAGACCCACUGAAGUUUCCACCUUCCGAGUGCCCUUCAUUUAAUUCAGGCUCUUCCACACGAAUUGACAGUUCUUCACGAUUCUGUUGAAGCAACCGUCUAGUUUCAUCCAUCUGACGAUCCAACAUUGUUUGAAUCAUCAUUUGCACACCAGCCAUGGUUAUUGGCUCAGGUGCUGCUGCUACGACAGGUAUUUGCUCAAUCACUGGUGGUUGAUUCCUGUUUUCGUCAGCAUUUCCAACUCCACUUCUUGUUCUCACCAUUUUGAUCUACACCGAAUAAGGUGAAAUUAGAUCCUCAAUCAUGAUAGAUAUUCAAAUCAUCCUUAUCACUCCGAAACGUUUACAUGCUAGUUCUAAUAUCGUAGACGUACGCUUAGAAUCCUACACACAUAAGGUUUCUAGAUCCGGUCGGCAACAGACCAUAGAUCCGAACAAAUAAUAUCAUAUAUGGCAACAUAUAACAUUUAGCACAUAAAAGCAUUUUAGGCAACUUUCCUAAAAUAAACUAGUGCUCGUGUCUAAAACAUAACAGACACACAUCUCAAAAUUUCACUUAGCAUUCUAAGUUUAAGUCUAGAAAUCCUACAAAUUCCUAGUUCGCUUAAACUAAUGCUCUGAUACCAACUGUGACAUCCCCAAAAUCUCGGCCAGAAAAGACCGAUUUUCAUUUAUGCUUUUAAAAUAAUUUCAGAGUAAAUCCUUUUGAUUUAAAAGAGUUGCGGAAUUUGUUCCCAAAACAAAAUAUGAUAAAAUAAUAUUUAUCAAAGCAUUUCAUAAAGAGAUGUAUUUUCAUUAUAUAAUCAAAACUCGGGAUGUCAUGUUCCGAUACAGACCAUAAAGCAUAAACGAUAACAUUACAAGUCAUUCAACAAAUAUAUACAUAUACAGACUUGUAAACAAAACAACUUGAUGAUUCAUCCAUCUUAUGCCCUUGCGCCACUUCCUGUAAUACAAAUAAAACUGAGUGGGUCAGGCUUGGGAGCCUGGUGAGCAUAUAGGGUUUUCAACCCACAAUAAAUAAUUAUAUUUAAUUCCACCAACCAACAAUAACCCAAUUACCCAUUCCCGUUAUUCUCACUUUACGUCCCUAAGACAACUAACAUAAGGGACCUAGUCUAAGAAUAUUUCAUCGGGGCGACAACACAUGCUUCGGGGGUUCCUCAGCAAUAUAAGUCAAAUAAGGCAACCAUGAGGGGGAUGGAGUACAACGAAUGAACACCCAAGUUCAUUAACACCUACAGGUGGCGAACCUGCUAGCGUUCCACAGGACUGUCUAGAAAAGUCUGUGGUCGUCAUCUAAACUCCGCUAGAUGACUGAAUCAAAAACAACAUCGGGGCCUCUCAUCUGUUUAUCACACAUCAACUAUCUACCCAUGUUCUACCCAACAUAUUAGUAGAUAAAAAUAUAUAUUUUUAUACAUAGUUUAAAACCUGUAUAGCAUUCUCAUUCAAUACAUAUUCCACAUAACAGAUGAGGCACACACACAUAACACGUAUUUCAUAGAGAAUAAAUCAGAUCUAUGAGAUAGAAGAAAGUGAAUAUACAUUCACACAUAUAACAACAAAAUAUACACAUAACACGUAUUUUAUAUAAAAUACUUCAUAAUUAUGCGUUAGAAGAAAGUAACCACACACUCACUUGAUCAGAAGAUGAUCGGACAGCACUACGGCUUACAGAAGUAGUAUUCUUCGGCAGAUCUGGAAGAUCUCCACAAAAAUCGAACUCCUCGCGGGCAGAGCUUCGGCUCGGGAAUCGCACUUCUCGGGAUCUCAGGAGCGUAAAACUUCCUUCUUAACUUGGAUAUGAGAUCCGGGGUGUCGGGAUGGCUUCGGGGGUUUACACGCAGAGCUUCGGCACGAAAAAGAGAAGAAAUGAGCAAGAAUGCCUGGAACCCUCGCAUCCUAUUUAUAGGAGGCUGAGGCCUCGCAGUACGCUGGGUGUACAGCCUUACGCGGGGCAUACGCCUCCGAAAUCGUCACUGCAUGUGUCAUCCGAAGAACUCGAGUGCGAGGCGUGUCAUGCUUCGCUGUCCGCUGGGCGUACGCCAGUACGCUGGCCGUACUUCGGAUAAGUCCGGUGACUCCUCUUCGAAUAAUAUCGGACAUAAUAAAUAAAUUUAAAUAUUAAUUAUUUAAUAAACUUUAAAAAUUCAUAUCUUCAUCAUACGAACUCCGUUUUUUAUGUUCUUUAUAUCCACGCGUAGGUGAGACUAUGCUCUACAACUUUCGUUUAGACUCCGUUGGCUAAUUUUGACUUUAUUUUUUUAUUAAUUAUUUUUAGUAGGCCCGGACAGGAAAUCUUCGUUAUAAAUUCAUAACUUCUUCGUCCGACGUCCGUUUUCGCCUAACUUUUCAUCGUUUCGCUACUAACAACAAGAUCUUCGAUUCUCAUUUAGAUUGUUUCGGCUAUAAACCGCUCGAUCUCAAAUCGAGUUUUUCGGACUGCAUACCGCUAAGUCGAAACUUCAGAAAUUCAUAACUUCCUCAUACGAAGUCAGAUUUGGGCGUUCUAUAUAUAUUCGGAAACCUCGUUUCGGCCACUACAACUUUAUGCAAAGAUAUCGGGCUUAUCUCAUACUUUAAUUUUGACGCUUAAUUUAUUCUUAAUUCAUUAAAUUAUAAUAAUUAAGUAAAUAAACACAUAAUUCACAUCAUUCACAUAAUACUCAAAUAUCUCAUCAUUAAUACUUCAAAAGAGUUACAAGGGUUAACCUAUACUAUUACAUCAACGAAAAUGCCUAGCCUAGAAACGCGGGCGUUACAGUUUUUUCCGAGUUUACAGGAAUAUAU